rnacentral:lncRNA from 1 species
UUUUGUUAAAAAGACAACCAUUAGAUUUUGUAGGUAUAUUGUAUCUAAUGGUGUACCACCAACACUUAAUCUUGUUUUUGCUUUUCAUCAUCUUCUUUCUUCCAUUGUUCUUCAUCUUCAACAACAAUUUUUUAAAUUGAAACAAAAGCUCAGAAAUUUCAGUCAGAAAAUCCGAAAAUAAAACACUUAAAGAAAUCAGAUCUGAUAAAAUACAAUAAAAGAGAAUGGCCAAAAAAUGUUAACAUAUCAAUUUCACUCCUUUUCCCACUUUGAGAAUGGCCAGAAAAUGUUAACAUAUCAANNNNUCCACACCAUCAUCACCAUAACAAUUUUCAACAACAAUUCUCUCUACAACAAUUUAUGGGUUAAAGAAUGAUUUAUGGGUUUGUGAAUUUUUGGGUUAUUGAUUUUAAUUUAUGGGUUAAAGAAUUAUUCGCAGUGUUGUUGUUGUGAAAAUUAAGCUACUUUCUUAGUGUUGUUUUUGUUUGAAUUAGCAUGGUGGUGGUGGUGUUCUUGUUGUUUAAUUUUUUUCCAUGAUAUUACUUUUGAAUGAACUAUGGUUAUUUUGCCCCUUUUUAAUUGUUGUACUAGAGAAAGAGAGAGAUGAA